rnacentral:rRNA from 1 species
GACGAACGCUGGCGGCGUGCUUAACACAUGCCAGUCGAACGGAAAGGCCCUGCUUUUGUGGGGUGCUCGAGUGGCGAACGGGUGAGUAACACGUGAGUAACCUGCCCUUGACUUUGGGAUAACUUCAGGAAACUGGGGCUAAUACCGGAUAGGAGCUCCUGCUGCAUGGUGGGGGUUGGAAAGUUUCGGCGGUUGGGGAUGGACUCGCGGCUUAUCAGCUUGUUGGUGGGGUAGUGGCUUACCAAGGCUUUGACGGGUAGCCGGCCUGAGAGGGUGACCGGCCACAUUGGGACUGAGAUACGGCCCAGACUCCUACGGGAGGUAGCAGUGGGGAAUAUUGCACAAUGGGCGGAAGCCUGAUGCAGCAACGCCGCGUGCGGGAUGACGGCCUUCGGGUUGCAAACCGCUUUCGCCUGUGACGAAGCGUGAGUGACGGUAAUGGGUAAAGAAGCACCGGCUAACUACGUG